rnacentral:rRNA from 1 species
UACGUAGGUGGCAAGCGUUUGUCCGGAAUUAUUGGGCGUAAAGCGCGCGCAGGCGGUCCUUUAAGUCUGAUGUGAAAGCCCACGGCUCAACCGUGGAGGGUCAUUGGAAACUGGGGGGACUUGAGUACAGAAGAGGAAAGCGGAAUUCCACGUGUAGCGGUGAAAUGCGUAGAGAUGUGGAGGAACACCAGUGGCGAAGGCGGCUUUCUGGUCUGUAACUGACGCUGAGGCGCGAAAAGCGUGGGGAGCAAACAGG